rnacentral:rRNA from 1 species
UACGUAGGGUGCAAGCGUUAAUCGGAAUUACUGGGCGUAAAGCGUGCGCAGGCGGUUUUGUAAGACAGAGGUGAAAUCCCCGGGCUCAACCUGGGAACUGCAUUUGUGACUGCAUGGCUAGAGUACGGUAGAGGGGGAUGGAAUUCCGCGUGUAGCAGUGAAAUGCGUAGAUAUGCGGAGGAACACCGAUGGCGAAGGCAAUCCCCUGGACCUGUACUGACGCUCAUGCACGAAAGCGUGGGGAGCAAACAGG